AUAACUGGCUUACGUCUGUUUUUUUGUGCUGCUAUAGGCUUAGUUGUUUGUUGUUUUAUGAUGAUUUCUUCUUGUUUGGGUUUGUGUAAUCUUUUUGAUCUGCAGAAUUAAUAGUACAAAAGUCUAUAGCUUUGGUUAUAGACUAAGAUUACUACUUUUCCAGAAAUAGUGAAUAAAGAAUCAACUGGGUGGGAUGAUCACUUUUCACUCGUGUUGCCCAGGCUGGAGUGUAGUGGUACUAUCUUGGCACACUGUGGCCUAUGUCUCGGGUUCAAGCGAUUUUGCUGUCUCAGCCUCCCAAGUAGGGAUUACAGGUGUUCCUGGCUCUAUGCCAAAUGCAUCCUGGACUGGAAACCUCAGAGCUAUAAAGUGGAGUGACAUGGAAGACAGACACGGAGGCUGCCACGGCCACUAUGUACAUGGUAUUUGUAUCUAUGGAAACGGAGACUUAAAGUGGUUGGUUAAUUCACCAAGCCUGUUUGCUAACAAGUUUGAGCUUAAUACCUACCCCCUUACUGUGGAAUGCCUAGAACUGAGGCAUCGCGAAAGAACCCUCAAUCAGAGUGAAACUGCGAUACAACCCAGCUGGUAUUUUUGAGCUAUUCAUGAGCUACUCAUGACUGAAGGGAAACUGCAGCUGGGAAGAGGAGCCUGUUUUUGUGAGAGACUUUUGCCUUCGUAAUGUUAACGGUUUCAGGACCACGUUUAUAGCUUCAGGACCUGGCUACAUAAUUAUACUUAAAAUAUCCACUGGACACUGUGAAAUACACUAACAGGAUGGCUGGAUAGAGCAAUCUGGACACUUUGGCCAAUUUUAGUCUUGCUGUUUCUUGAUGCUCACCUCUAUAUUAGUUUAUUGUUAGGAUCAAUGAUAAAUUUAAAUGACCUCAGAUCUUUGCACCAGAUACUCAUCAUAUACAAAUGUUUUAGUAAAAAAGAGAAUUGUAGAUAAUACUGUCUAGG
rnacentral:sRNA from 1 species